UACGUAGGGUGCGAGCGUUAAUCGGAAUUACUGGGCGUAAAGCGUGCGCAGGCGGUGAUGUAAGACCGAUGUGAAAUCCCCGGGCUUAACCUGGGAACUGCAUUGGUGACUGCAUUGCUGGAGUAUGGCAGAGGGGGGUGGAAUUCCACGUGUAGCAGUGAAAUGCGUAGAGAUGUGGAGGAACACCGAUGGCGAAGGCAGCCCCCUGGGUCGACACUGACGCUCAGGCACGAAAGCGUGGGGAGCAAACAGG
rnacentral:rRNA from 1 species